CCAGAGAAGAAAAAAAAGAAGAAUCAGAUCAGCCAAGCGGGCUGCUGAGAACGAUGACCUGAAUUGCGGGGAUGCAGGAAGUGCUGAAGAUGCUUUGUCAGCUAAGAAUUGGUUAAAGGAAAAUGGCUGGUACAGCAUCCCCGUUCACUGUCUGCCUUUGUGGGGAGCCCUCUGCUCAGAAAACUGUUCUUCUUGGCGCCCACGUUUCUCCCUCCUCUCUGUGGGCCACCCUUCUUCUUUCCAUUGGGUUGGUCAUGGAGGCAUGGACUUCAGAGGGCUUGGACCCCUGGGUGCUGACGAGGUGGGACCCUCGGGACCCCUGGAGGACUCGGAGCGCUGACCACUAGCCAUGUCCCCCGAGCCGCAGCGCUGAUGCCAUACAGUUUCCCCCUCACUGUGCUGAGGCGGAAGACCCUGGGAUUUCUGAGCGAGCCCCAUGGAUGCUGAAGUCUUCCUGGGUCCCCGACUCCAUGCUCUGGCGCCCCAGUUACUAUGACGCCCUGCACGACCGCAGCUCGGGGCGCGCCCAGCACCCUGCAGGACACGCGGCCUCCCCGGCUCAG
rnacentral:lncRNA from 1 species